AGCAGCCGCGGUAAUUCCAGCUCCAAUAGCGUAUAUUAAAGUUGUUGCAGUUAAAAAGCUCGUAGUUGAAUUUCGGGGUUAGUAGAUUGGUCAUGCCUCUGGUAUGCACUGGUCUUACUGAUUCCUCCUUCCUGAUGAACCGUAAUGCCAUUAAUUUGGUGUUGCGGGGAAACUGGACUGUUACUUUAGAAAAAUUAGAGUGUUUAAAGCAGGCUAACGCUUGAAUACAUUAGCAUGGAAUAAUGAAAUAGGGCGUUCGAUCUUAUUUUGUUGGUUUCUAGGAUUGACGUAAUGAUUAAUAGGGAUAGUUGGGGGCAUUAGUAUUCAAUUGUCAGAGGUGAAAUUCUUGGAUUUAUUGAAGACUAACUACUGCGAAAGCAUUUGCCAAGGAUGUUUUCAUUAAUCAAGAACGAAAGUUAGGGGAUCGAAGACGAUCAGAUACCGUCGUAGUCUUAACCAUAAACUAUGCCGACUAGGGAUCGGAUGAUGUUAAUUUUUAAUGUACUCAUUCGGCGCCUUA
rnacentral:rRNA from 1 species